CAGCCGCCGCGGUAACACGUAGGUGGCAAGCGUUGUCCGGAAUUAUUGGGCGUAAAGGGCUCGCAGGCGGUUUCUUAAGUCUGAUGUGAAAGCCCCCGGCUCAACCGGGGAGGGUCAUUGGAAACUGGGAAACUUGAGUGCAGAAGAGGAGAGUGGAAUUCCACGUGUAGCGGUGAAAUACGUAGAGAUGUGGAGGAACACCAGUGGCGAAGGCGACUCUCUGGUCUGUAACUGACGCUGAGGAGCGGAAGCGUGGGGAGCGAACAGGAUUAGAUACCCCGCGUAGUCCCUGUCUCUUAUA
rnacentral:rRNA from 1 species